rnacentral:rRNA from 1 species
UCCUACGGGAGGCAGCAGUGGGGAAUAUUGCACAAUGGGGGGAACCCUGAUGCAGCCAUGCCGCGUGUGUGAAGAAGGCCUUCGGGUUGUAAAGCACUUUCAGUGGUGAGGAAAAGAUAGUAGUUAAUACCUGCUAGCCGUGACGUUAACCACAGAAGAAGCACCGGCUAACUCCGUGCCAGCAGCCGCGGUAAUACGGAGGGUGCGAGCGUUAAUCGGAAUUACUGGGCGUAAAGCGCACGCAGGCGGUUUGUUAAGCUAGAUGUGAAAGCCCCGCGCUUAAUGUGGGAUGGUUAUUUAGAACUGGCAGACUAGAGUCUUGGAGAGGGGAGUGGAAUUUCUGGUGUAGCGGUGAAAUGCGUAGAGAUCAGAAGGAACAUCAAUGGCGAAGGCAGCUCUCUGGCCAAAGACUGACGCUCAUGUGCGAAAGUGUGGGUAGCGAACAGGAUUAGAUACCCUGGUAGUCCACACCGUAAACGCUGUCUACUAGCUGUAUGUGUAUUUAAUACGUGUGUAGCGAAGCUAACGCGCUAAGUAGACCG